rnacentral:tRNA from 1 species
GGACCGGUAGUUUAGCGGUUAUAACGCCUCGUUUACACCGAGGAGGUCGGCGGUUCAAAUCCGCCCCGGUCCA